UACGGGGGGGGCAAGCGUUGUUCGGAAUUACUGGGCGUAAAGGGCUCGUAGGCGGCCAACUAAGUCAGGGGUGAAAUCCCGAGGCUCAACCUCGGAACUGCCUUUGAUACUAUUGGUCUUGAAUGUUGUUGAGGUGGGCGGAACGGGUCAUGUAGCGGUGAAAUGCAUAGAUAUGACCCGGAACACCGAUUGCGAAGGCAGCCCGCUAAGCAACUAUUGACGCUGAGGCACGAAAGCGUGGGGAUCAAACAGG
rnacentral:rRNA from 1 species